GACGAACGCUGGCGGCGUGCUUAACACAUGCAAGUCGAACGGAAAGGCCCUUCGGGGUACUCGAGUGGCGAACGGGUGAGUAACACGUGGGUGAUCUGCCCUGCACUUUGGGAUAAGCCUGGGAAACUGGGUCUAAUACCGAAUAGGACCGCGCUCUUCAUGGGGUGUGGUGGAAAGCUUUUGCGGUGUGGGAUGGGCCCGCGGCCUAUCAGCUUGUUGGUGGGGUAAUGGCCUACCAAGGCGACGACGGGUAGCCGGCCUGAGAGGGUGACCGGCCACACUGGGACUGAGAUACGGCCCAGACUCCUACGGGAGGCAGCAGUGGGGAAUAUUGCACAAUGGGCGCAAGCCUGAUGCAGCGACGCCGCGUGAGGGAUGACGGCCUUCGGGUUGUAAACCUCUUUCAGUACCGACGAAGCGCAAGUGACGGUAGGUACAGAAGAAGGACCGGCCAACUACGUGCCAGCAGCCGCGGUAAUACGUAGGGUCCGAGCGUUGUCCGGAAUUACUGGGCGUAAAGAGCUCGUAGGUGGUUUGUCGCGUUGUUCGUGAAAACUCACAGCUUAACUGUGGGCGUGCGGGCGAUACGGGCAGACUAGAGUACUGCAGGGGAGACUGGAAUUCCUGGUGUAGCGGUGGAAUGCGCAGAUAUCAGGAGGAACACCGGUGGCGAAGGCGGGUCUCUGGGCAGUAACUGACGCUGAGGAGCGAAAGCGUGGGGAGCGAACAGGAUUAGAUACCCUGGUAGUCCACGCCGUAAACGGUGGGUACUAGGUGUGGGUUUCCUUCCUUGGGAUCCGUGCCGUAGCUAACGCAUUAAGUACCCCGCCUGGGGAGUACGGCCGCAAGGCUAAAACUCAAAGGAAUUGACGGGGGCCCGCACAAGCGGCGGAGCAUGUGGAUUAAUUCGAUGCAACGCGAAGAACCUUACCUGGGUUUGACAUGCACAGGACGUGCCUAGAGAUAGGUAUUCCCUUGUGGCCUGUGUGCAGGUGGUGCAUGGCUGUCGUCAGCUCGUGUCGUGAGAUGUUGGGUUAAGUCCCGCAACGAGCGCAACCCUUGUCUCAUGUUGCCAGCACGUUAUGGUGGGGACUCGUGAGAGACUGCCGGGGUCAACUCGGAGGAAGGUGGGGAUGACGUCAAGUCAUCAUGCCCCUUAUGUCCAGGGCUUCACACAUGCUACAAUGGCCGGUACAAAGGGCUGCGAUGCCGUAAGGUGGAGCGAAUCCUUUCAAAGCCGGUCUCAGUUCGGAUCGGGGUCUGCAACUCGACCCCGUGAAGUCGGAGUCGCUAGUAAUCGCAGAUCAGCAACGCUGCGGUGAAUACGUUCCCGGGCCU
rnacentral:rRNA from 1 species